UUACAAGUGUAAAAAAGGAACCAGCUCCCUCUUUCUUCACUGUUCUCUCUCUCUCUCUCUCUCUCUUCUCUGUGAAUCAGUGAAGCAAAGACGAAGCUCCACAGUCUAGGUGCUUCUCUCUCAGGCCGGCCAUGGCGAUGGUUAGCCCUAACCAUCGAAGUUAGCUCCUGUUAUAACUCCUAGUCGUAUUCCCCAGUUUGUCCUCUGUUUUUCUGGCAUCCCCGUCCAUGCCCUCAAUGUCGGUGUUCAGGCCUCAAACGCUGCGGUCUCCGUCAGCAAAGACUGUAGCAGAGGUCGGCCGAAACUUACUUGAGGGAAAGUAAUAAAACAAGAUUUAAUGAAGUGGGAAAUAGAUUGGCACACGGUUUGUCAUAGCACAGAGUGGAGGAAAGCUAUUAGCAUUGUGGAGGGGCAGAUUUCCUAUAUUCAAGACUGUCCUUUUUAG